AGUCCAUGGUGCAGACAUUUUUGCAUCAUCUCCUUGAAUUGCUCCCAUUCUUCAAAGAACGAUUCUCCAUCAGUUUUCCUAAAGUAGGUGAUUUGGUUCCUUAUUGU